UUAGGGUCUCCUUCUCUUUCCUGUUUAUCUUUGCCUCUAUGACCCCUCAAUUGAUAGAGUGUACUCAGGAACUUCCUGGGAGUGAAGAAGUGAAUCUUCUUCUUCUUCUUCUUCUUCUUCUUCUUCUUCUUCUUCUUCUUCUUCUUCUUCUUCUCUCUCUGAACACCAUGUAGCCCGCAGUUAGAUAUAGGUCUUUCCUAUCACCGUGUACUUAUAAAUGAAAUAGAUUCAUUCAUUUAACCUUAAGUCAAUCUCCAUGCUUAUCAUUUACAAGCUGUUGCCCACUCCCAUUGCUACUUCUGCUGCAAUGGGAGUGACUUAGCUCCUGAAUUGCUCUGCUAUAUAAGUAAUCACCCCCACAACAGCUAAGUAGAUGAGCCAUGAAGCAGGGGCUGUGGCAUUAAGAAAGCAGGGGAAGUGAAAGUCAGUUUGGGGACAGGGGAGCUCGGGGUGUAUGUGUGCAUCAUUCAUUCAUCUUCCUCAGAUAUGAUCUCAUCUGUAAUAUACCUCUGAAGAUCACUUGUGAGCUUCCCAGAGACAUCUAGCCAGAACCGGUCCACCUCGCCCUGCAUCCACUGCAGGCGUGCCUUGUUGCUGUUCCACAGCUGGACAUCGGCCGCCUCGGUCUCUGUGAUGGCCACGUAUUCCCCGAGGCGGCUGUCGAAUCGGGCGAUCUCCUGCCGGUCGUAGAUGUACCGGGCCAGCAAGUACACCUGCCGUGUCCCAUUGGUGAAGUGGCACUGGCGCUUGUCCUGGACGAGGAAAUGGGCUGCAGGGAUGAGGAGGGAGAAGAGGCAUCAGAAGCCACAUUCACACACGCAGCCUGAACGCUGCCUAGAAACGGAGGAGAUAGGAAGAAAAGGGAAGAGAAAGGAGAACUGAAAGAGGACACUCAUAACCUCAUCUGUGCAAGGAGUGUGUGAAACAGCAGCACGCCUCCCACCCUGUCUUCCCACUGGCAGCUUCUGAGAUGCCCUCUUCAAACCCUCACCCACAGGACCUCUCUGUCUACACCAGGAGCCAUUGAGAAAGGCAAUGAAGGUUGCCACCACCUCUUUUCUAGCAGGACUCUAACAGCUACAUGAAAGGCAGAAAUUCAAAGGGUGCAGACUCCCCACCACAGCACCUCCAUUCAAAGACUCCCCACCACAGCACCUCCAUGCUGGCAAUGUACAUUCCUGGAUUU